ensembl:lncRNA
CUGGCAGCUGGCGUGUGUUUCGUGGUGAGCGGGACGGGGCUGGCUCUGGGACCCCUCUGUUUACACAACAGCACUGAUGGUCUGAAGUGGGGACGGCCAUUAAAACAAGUCAAAACUGGGUGUGUAAGAACUCACAUUGUUCUAUUCCUUCACUAUUUUUUUUUUUUUACAAAGAACUAACUAUCAUUCAUCCAUUAGGCAAAAUCGUCAACAUUAGUAUAGUUUUGUUUCACUGAGAAACACAUUAAACCUGAUGUAUCCAACAGGCUUUGUGACCUCACCAAUCAAACAUUAAAGCAUUAUACAAUAAAAAGCUGCAUUGAAGUGAGUUUACUUCAGUUAAAGACCAUGACGUUGGUUUUGAGGUUGUGUGCUGUCAAGUUAAAUUUGUCAUGUAGUGUUAAUGUGUGUUGUUCUUUUUGCUUUGUGUUCAGUGCAUUAUUAAAUGACUUGUGCUCAUGUUCCUCUGUGUGUUAAUGCAGAGAGAAGCUUUACCUCUAUGCUCCGGAGCGGUGGUCGUCCGCCUGUGUGGAGCCUCGAGGUGUUGUGGUCUGGAAUACGGUUCUUUUCUCCGUCCUCAUGGCAGCAAGUGGCCUUGAGCUCGCUUUCUGCGUUCUUCAUCUCCUCGCCGCCUUACUGGAGUUCAUGUGUGGACCGAGAUUCCGCAAGAAUAAGGUUGUUCCUGCUUGAAAAGACUCGAGGUUCUAUUAUUUUCAUCUCCAUGUGAGAGUGAGAAUGCCAUUUUUGGGUUAAACAGUCAGCUUCGACUGCUUAACUUAUUUUAAACAGAGAGGAAAAAAAUAGAAAUGGGAAGUGGAUCAGAAAAGGCAAUAUCACUGUGCCUGAAGUGUGUUACUGCACUGUCAUCACACACACGUCCAGUCUUCCUGUAGUUCAGCUGCUUGAGAGUGACACUAGUGAUGGUAAACUUUGAAUCCCAGAAACCCUUGAACAGAUUAAACACUCUGAAUAACCUACUAAACUCACACAAACUAAUAAGCUGUUUAAAUUAUUCUUUAUUGUCAUAUAUAUUCAGAAUGCACUUUAGUAUUUAUGCACUGUAUGUGUGUGUAAUUUAAUGUAUGAUGUGUGUAUGUGAUAAAAUAC